AUACGGAGGGUGCAAGCGUUAUUCGGAAUCACUGGGCGUAAAGGACGCGUAGGCGGGUUGGCAAGUCAGAUGUGAAAUCCUACAGCUUAACUGUAGAACUGCAUUUGAAACUGCUAACCUAGAGUAUGGGAGGGGGAGAUGGAAUUAGUGGUGUAGGGGUAAAAUCCGUAGAUAUCACUAGGAAUACCGAAAGCGAAGGCGAUCUCCUGGAACAUAACUGACGCUAAGGCGUGAAAGCGUGGGGAGCAAAUAGGAUUAGAUACCCUAGUAGUCC
rnacentral:rRNA from 1 species